GGGUUUGAGAUUCUCUCAAUUGGCAAGUUCUUGGGUUUUGCUCCGAGCUGCAGUCAAAAUCAAAGUGUAUUGGUACACAUCAGCAGGGUGCAUGGUGGACAUUACUAGGCCUUUAUCAGGCCGAUGUUUUCUGAUUAUUGAAAGUUUCAGAAGCAUCAAUCCUUGUUGGAAUUCUACCAGAUAACUGUUUUUUGAAGGAUCAAGAGACGCCAUCAUUUUCAAGUGACCAAAGUGUUUGCACCCUUACCUGUCGGUAAUUUACGUGAGAGGUUUAGAGAAGCACAUUCCUGAUGUUUGGAGGAAAUGGUUGUAAUAAGUGGUUAUUGCUAUUAUAUGAAGAUAAUGAAGUUCUCUCUGCAUCCACAUCCAUUGAGAAAGAAGGGCAUGCCUAGUGUUGAAAUGUUGGAUUCUUAUCUGGACUGAACUUGAAAGGAAGAGAUAGGGGUGAUUAUCAUAGUGAUCUGCUCAAUAAAACUUUCAUGAAACUUCCAGAAAACAAGUUGAAUAACAGAAACAUGAUCGAGUUAGAUUGGAACAGAUUAAUUCACAUGUUGUGGAAUGAAACAGUAAUAGCAGCUAGUUAUUUUUGAGUUAAUUGAGAAAGCUAGGUUUAAAUCACAGCCAAAAAAAGACGAGGAAGCUAAACAGAGUUUUGUUUCAUGGAAUCGAAGGGGCUUAUAUAUACCAGCCCAUAUUACAUACAAUCCAUACACGUUUCUCAAGAGCAAC
rnacentral:lncRNA from 1 species